rnacentral:rRNA from 1 species
GACGAACGCUGGCGGCGUGCUUAACACAUGCAAGUCGAACGGAAAGGCCCUGCUUUUGUGGGGUGCUCGAGUGGCGAACGGGUGAGUAACACGUGAGUAACCUGCCCUUGACUUUGGGAUAACUUCAGGAAACUGGGGCUAAUACCGGAUAGGAGCUCCUGCUGCAUGGUGGGGGUUGGAAAGUUUCGGCGGUUGGGGAUGGACUCGCGGCUUAUCAGCUUGUUGGUGGGGUAGUGGCUUACCAAGGCUUUGACGGGUAGCCGGCCUGAGAGGGUGACCGGCCACAUUGGGACUGAGAUACGGCCCAGACUCCUACGGGAGGCAGCAGUGGGGAAUAUUGCACAAUGGGCGGAAGCCUGAUGCAGCAACGCCGCGUGUGGGAUGACGGCCCUCGGGUUGUAAACCGCUUUCGCCUGUGACGAAGCGUGAGUGACGGUAAUGGGUAAAGAAGCACCGGCUAACUACGUG